CGGCCGCAGAGUUUGAUCAUGGCUCAGAACGAACGCUGGCGGCGUGGAUUAGGCAUGCAAGUCGAACGUGAAAGCUGACGUAGCAAUACGAAGGCGAGUAAAGUGGCGAACGGGUGAGUAACGCGUGGGAAACCUGCUCCAGAGUGGGGGAUAACUGUUCUGACGGACUGCUAAUACCGCAUGUUGCUACGGGUCGAUGACUUCGUAGUUGAAGGAGGCCUCUGUUUCAAGCUUUCGCUCCGGAAUGGUCCCGCGUCCUAUUAGCUUGUUGGUGGGGUAACGGCCUACCAAGGCUACGAUGGGUAGCCGGCCUGAGAGGGUGGUCGGCCACACUGGGACUGAGAUACGGCCCAGACUCCUACGGGGGGCAGCAGUCGAGAGGCUUCGGCAAUGGGGGAAACCCUGACCGACCGACGCCGCGUGGGUGGUGAAGUAUUUCGGUACGUAAAACCCUGUCAGGUGGGAUGAAAUACCAUUCGGUUAACACCCGAGUGGUUUGACAG
rnacentral:rRNA from 1 species